rnacentral:lncRNA from 1 species
CAGAGAUUCAGACUUUCAGAUUCAUAUUUUCCAUCUCAACCCACAGAAGCUUUAUGUGGGGGGUUUUGCAGAAAGUUCUCCUUGUGUUUCAGUCAUUUGCCUUUUCUCUGUGACAGCCAGUAGGGAACAGUAGUAGAGGCUGACCAUCCCCAGGCCCUUGGGAAACAGUGCUAGGAGGCUCUGUAUUCAUUGAUUGAGAAGUUCUGUUAAAGCACCAACUUCUUUCUAAAACAAUUUGGAUCAAACAAUGAGACUAGUUGCAAACCACAAUAUUUAUAAGAGGUGUAAAUUUGAAG